GCCUUUUCGACAGCCACGAGCAUUCUCUUCCCACGUCCGCAGGCGUCCGAUCGCCUCCGUUAUGGUCAUGUCGUCGAUGUCGUAAAGCUGCUCGAGCGUGCCGAUGAUGUACGUGAAUUUGUCAAUCACUGAACUGAAAAAUUUCUCCACAAUCUCGGUCUCCUCGAGCUUUGCACCAAGCGCGCGGAUCUCUCCCACCAAAGUAGUAAGACGCAUGGCAUAGUCGUUCACCGAUUCAGUUUCCUCCAUCUGCAACUUGUGAAAUUGGCGCUUCAGCACUUGUGCCCGAGCCUUGGUGACACGAUCUUCUCCGAUCCUCAUCUCCUUGAGUGCGUUCCACGCC
rnacentral:lncRNA from 1 species